UACGGGGGGAGCAAGCGUUGUUCGGAUUUACUGGGCGUAAAGGGCGCGUAGGCGGCCUCUGCAAGUCGACUGUGAAAUCUCCGGGCUUAACCCGGAACGGUCAGCCGAUACUGCAGGGCUAGAGUGCAGAAGGGGCAACUGGAAUUCUCGGUGUAGCGGUGAAAUGCGUAGAUAUUGGGAGGAACACCAGUGGCGAAGGCGGCUCACUGGACCGGAACUGACGCUGAGGCGCGAAAGCGUGGGGAGCAAACAGG
rnacentral:rRNA from 1 species